rnacentral:ncRNA from 1 species
CAAAGGUUUGGUCCUGACUUUACUAUCAACUGUAGCUGAAUUUACACAUGCAAGUAUCGGCACACCUGUGAGGAUGCCCCCCCACCGUCCCUCUCCCAGGGAUUAGGAGCUGGCAUCAGGCACACCCUAUGGUAGCCCAUGACGCCUUGCCUAGCCACACCCCCACGGGGCCCCAGCAGUGAUUAACAUUAAGCAAUGAGCGAAAGCUUGACUUAGCUACAGCUAAGAGGGCCGGUAAAGCUCGUGCCAGCCACCGCGGUUAUACGAGCGGCCCAAGUUGAUAGUCCCUCGGCGUAAAGAGUGGUUAGACUGUUAUUAAACUAAAGCUGAACCCUUUUGCUGCUGUUAUAAGCCCUCAGAAGCGGGAAGCCCAAUUACGAAAGUAGCUUUAUCAAUGUUGACCCCACAAAAGCUGUGGCACAAACUAGGAUUAGAUACCCUACUAUGCACAGCUGUAAACUACGGCAGAUAUAUACAAAUUCUGCCCGCCUGGGUACUACGAGCGCCAGCUUGAAACCCAAAGGACUUGGCGGUGCUUUAGACCCCCUAGAGGAGCCUGUUCUAUAACCGAUACCCCUCGUUCAACCUCACCCUCCCUUGUAAUAUCAGCCUAUAUACCGCCGUCGUCAGCUCACCCUGUGAAGGAAAAAUAGUGGGCGCAGUUGGCCAAGCCCAAAACGUCAGGUCGAGGUGUAGCAAACGGGAGGGGAAGAAAUGGGCUACAUUUCCUGGAUCAGGAAACACGGAAAGGAUGAUGAAAUGCAUCCUGGAAGGCGGAUUUAGCAGUAAGAGGGGAAUAGAGUGCCCCUCUGAAGUCGGCCCUAAAGCGCGCACACACCGCCCGUCACUCUCCCCGAAUAACCCUAAUUAUAACUAAUAAGAGCCUAAAACAAAGGGGAGGUAAGUCGUAACAUGGUAAGGGUACCGGAAGGUGCCCUUGGUAA